UAUUAAAAAUUUCAUCCAUUUGCACUGUUAAAAAUUAACGUAGCUGACAGAAUAACCAGACAAUAACGCGUAAUAUACCAUAUAUACGUCAUGUUGACAUACAAGAUUCGAUUUUAAUAAUAAAAAUGAACGAAAUUUUUAAUA
rfam:Gossypium raimondii Chr02_contig_753, whole genome shotgun sequence.